AGUGCUGCUGCUCGGAGGACAGCUCUGGGCACCGGGGCCAUGCUUUCCAUGUUUGAACUCCAGAAAGGCUAGCCACUGUGCACAGAAAAUAGAUGCGGAUAGCAGAGCAGACUGGCAGAGCUCGCCAAGGGAUAGCCGCAUGAAAACAAGCAGCCCAUUUGCUCCUAGAAAUCAGUUGUAGCUGGUACUGGACACAAGGAACAGAUUGUAUUCAUGGCCCGCUGCCCCAUGAGUCAAGCAAUGGGAAGAGAGAGGAAUGUGAACGGAGGAGAGGCGCUCAGAGUCGAGGGCAUCAAAAGCUGGCUACAGGAAGGAAGGUCUGGAAGAGUUCAGCGGUGGGACUGCUCGCUUGGAGUCUGGUGGGCUUUGCUGUAUAUCCCAGGCUGACUUCAGAUACACUACCCGGCAGCAGCUUCACCGGCUGGGAUUACAGGCAUCCUGCACGUGCCUCCAGCAAAUUGCCUCUUUUAAGGCAUUGGAAUCGUUCUUCUGAUGCAGACAUUACGAACAAUGCUCUGCAGGGUCCCUCAGGCUUCCUGACCUGUGAGUGGAGCCGCUCAUUUGGAGGUAUCUGUCUUCUAUAAUGGUUAAGAUACAGUCCUUUUAAAAGGAGAAGUCAUAUUUAACUCAGAAGAGGCAAACACCAUACAUGAAACAUUUGCCCAUUGGCACCGUGCUUGCUUGGUGAGGCACUGGUUUGGCCGUGACUCCACCUUGGCUGCAUAUCAUUAUCACCUGGAGAGUUUUAUAGAUUAUUAUUAUUAUUAUUAUUAUUUUGCCAGAUUCCAGUGCAGAUUUAUUAAAUUCAAGUCCCCGGUGCCUCUUAGGAAGGGGGAUGCUGAGAUGCCAUCAACGUCAGUGUUGAUGCUGAGGUGUCAUUAGCAUCAGUGUUUUCCACCAGGCCCCUAAUAAAUCCAAGUGCAUAAGGGUUGAAGUGGUUUCAGCCAUUGGUUCUCAAAGUGCAGGUCAAGGAGCAAUAGCAUCACCUGAGCAUUUCACUGAAAUGCAAAGCCCAGAAACUCAGGACAGAGGCCUCUAACCAGUGCUUUAACAACUAUCCACCAGGUGGGCAUGGUGGUGUAUGCCUUUAAUUCCAGCAAAGGCUGAGGCAGGGGGAUCUCUAUGAGUUUGAGGCCAGACAUCUAAGGCUACACAGAGAAAUUCUGGUCACAAAAAAAAAAAAAAACAAAAAAAAAACAACCAACCACCCAACCUAAUAGAGAGAAGCAAGUGUCCACCAAUUCUGGUGGGGCCCGAGGCUGGUUGUCAGUUUUCUGUUCGACUUCUCUUUGGAGUCAUCAGCGGACUUAAAUACUGGCACCUGAAUUCCGUCCCCAGAGGUUGUGGUUUCAGGUAUUUUAUUUUUUAGAAAAAGGAUCCCUGGAUGACUCUAGCAUGAGGUCCAGUUGCAAACCAUGAUGCUAACCUCCACAGUUCUGAAGCACUCUCCUAAGCAAGGAGGGGCAGCAUUGCUCCGAAGCCGGCUUGAAACAUGAAUUCUCCAGCCUGAGCCUGUUUGAUGCCUGAAUCCAUAUGAUCCUGACACUGGCUUCCUUCAGCACAGAACGAGGUUCUGAAAUUGGAAUAUUGCUGUGCGUGUAUACCCCCUCCCUCUGUCAUUUGGAUACAUCACAGUUUAUUAUAAAACCAUGGACUGGGCUGUCGGGCUGUGGUGGCACACACCUUUAAUUCCAGCAGAGGCAGGUGGAUCUCUGGGAGUUCAAGACCAGCUCGUUCUAUAUAGCAAGUACCAGGUCAUCCAGGGCUACACAGUGAGACAAAGAAGCAAAAAUCACAAAACAAAAAACCCACUGUGGACUACAGGCAUUAGAGGAACAGUUUCUCUGUUUAUAUAAUUAAUAUAUAUUAUUAAAUUCUAUUAUUACCACUGUAGCACACACUUUAUUUUUAAUUAUUUUGCUUUUGUAGAUUUGAAGGAUGGCCUCAUCUAUGCUUUUAUCUUUUAUUUGCUCAUUUAUUUGGCACUCAGAUAACUGAGCAUUUCAUUUGACACAGGAAGACAAUGGUUUCCUUUAUUGUCUGUGAAACCCUUCCCAUGGGAAAUUUAUUUUGAGCCAUGGUUUCUCAAGAUAGGCAGCAACUUUCUGAGUCACAAGCUCCAACCAUUACCACCAGAACUAUCCCCAGAUUCAAAUGGUUUAAACUGGGAGUUUAACACACUUACCUAAUUCCUGGGAAAAGUACCAGAUUCUUACCAUUCCAGAGAACUCUAAGCUACACAGCUGAAUACUGUGUAUCUCAAGAACUCCGCACAGACUGAGUCUAAGCAACUUUGUUUCCUUCUAAAUUUUCCCAUUGUAGUCUGGCUUCCCCACCAGCACACACGAAAGGCUUCUUAAGGAUUGCAAAUGUGACCCUUGGACUAAGUCACUUUAACUUUGAUGAUGCACAGUAGCUACUGAGAGCCACUGUUUGGGGGCUAGGAAAUGAGAAGUGAUUUGUUUUAUUUAUUUUCUGUUGUCCAGGCCAUCCUAGAAUUUCCUACUGUAGCUCAGGCUAGUCUCAGACUCCCAAAUGCUGGGAUCACAGGUGCCUAUCUUGGAAAUGAUUUUUGAUGCAGUUACUUCUAUACAGUGAAAGGCUGAGUGCUACUCAGUGCUCUCCUGCAACUCAUUUCCCAUGUUCUUUUCAUCCCUGGAAACAGUCUUUAUCACAUUCAUCCCUAGCAGAGCUCAACACUGGGACUGUCUUCCGUAAGUCAUUCUAAAUCACCUCAACUGCAAGCAAGUGAAGACUGGGAAUCUCCCAUUUCUGAUCUAACAGAUUUACUUCCUUGGCCUCAGGGAGAGAAGGCCACCUCCCUUCUCACUGGGCCACCUUUCUGCUUGUUUGCUUACCCUUGAGAGUGUCCUUUCUCUACAGGGCCCAGAUGCCCACAUCCUCCCGUUUCUGUUCUUACUCUAAUAAAUAAAGAUAAUAGGAGCAAAGGCAGCAACUUACUCAUGACCUGUUGCAUCGACACAUAGACCAUGAACUAUUCUUUUCUUCUCUCAUCAUCUAAACAUGAAAUUCUGGCUUGUAGGAAAAAAUAAAAACAGAUUCUGGAGACUCAGAGACUACCACAUAUGUGUACACACACACACAUACACACACACACACACACACACGCACAGGAAUGCCAAUGAACAUGGACUGUGAUGUACUCUUGGUGUCUAGUGUGUUUACAUAUUUAGUAUUAUGGUCUUAAGAACGGCAAAUUCCACAAGGCAGAUGUAAUAUAGCACCCUUGAAGAAAACAUUACCAAUCAGUAAGCAGAAUCUGUAUGUAAAUGUGUUGGUCAAUAUUGUCAGUUUGAUGGGAUUUAUAAUCACCAUAGAAACAGAUCCUUGGGGUUUGCCUAUACGGAUAACUGAGGUGGAAAAGCCUAAAUGUCGGUAGCACCAUCUGAUGGGCUGGGGUCAUCAAAUGAAAAGGAAAAUGUGAAGGAACAUAGGAACUUACCAUUUCGCUUUCUGAAGUGGAUACAAUGUGACAGCCAGCCUCCUUCAGCCAUACAUCCCCCACCAUGCCGACUGUCCCCCUGGAACUGUAAGCCAGAACAAACCUUUCUUACUCAAGCUGCUUUUGUCUGAUAUUUGGUCACAGCAAUGAGUUAAGUAACACAGAGAAUACGUGUCAAAUUAGGAAUGAAUCCUUCCAGUCAAAUUUCAGGUAGAAAAGAAAAAGUUCAAUAAAUGUUGCAAAUCAGAAAUAAGUAGUACCUAAACAGAAAGUGUUUGUUUUCUGAACCAAAAUCUUAGAGGAAACAAAGGCAGUAAUGAAUUGAGUACUAAAAAAAGUUUAAAUAUGAGCCAAUAUCAGAGUAAAAUUUUAGUUAAAGUCAUCAGCUUACAGAAAAUAAAUUGUUUUUCCUAACUACUAAAUAUUAGAGGAACUCUUAAAACUGGGUAUGAAAAUCUUCCAAGAGUUAUGUUUUACAGAAGACGGUCUUGAAAGUCACAGCUGUUAAUUCUCAGAAAAGCAUGCUUCUAGGAUGUGUUUAACAGCUCCAGGUAUGAGUUCUGUUCUGUAAAGUGGGCCUUACUCCAAGCAGAAAGUGUUUGGUUAAUGUAACAUCUGUACCACUAUUGCCCGAAUGGACAUAUCUUGACUGGCCAGUGGCUAUGUAGCGCACACAGUUCAGAGCUGGGUAGAGCUAAUGAUUAUGUCUCUUCCCCAAGAAGCAUGAACAGAAAUUUUCAGCACCAGGAAAGCUUUCCAGGAAGGAUGACAUUUCCAUGUCUGUACCAUCCUGAUUUCUCUGUGUUCUAUAACUUAAGUGUGUGCUAUCUUCAGCAAUAGAGUCUCACCAUUAAGUUCUGGAGGGUAACUGGAGGGUAGCAAUGGCAGUAUCUAGUAAUGUCACAGAGGGUGUCUAUGAGACUCCACUGACCAACAACUUCAAAAGAGGUAACUCAUCCCUGGCACCAGGUUUUUAUUUGAUUGCCUAUGCUGUCUAGGAGAGGAAUUAUCUGCAACACCCCACCACCCUGUUAUAGGCUAAUUCCACUUAAACUCUUUUUUAUAUGUGUAUAUGUUUUCAGAAGCCUCCACGGUAGCAUGUUUUCAUAUAGUUCCCCUUAGUUCUUUAGUGUUAAUUAGCCCUCUACAUACUCCCAAGGGUAGGUAGUUCAAAUAAAACCUUUUAGGGACCAGCGCUUAGAGGCAUUGCAAGUGUGGC